AAUGAACGUUGGCGGCGUGGAUUAGGCAUGCAAGUCGAGCGCGAUAUGUAGCAAUACAUGGAGAGCGGCGAAAGGGAGAGUAAUACGUAGGUAUCUACCCUCGGGUCUGGGAUAGCAGCGGGAAACUGCUGGUAAUACCAGAUAACUUCUCCGGACCAAAGGUGUGAUUCCACCUGAGGAGGAGCCUACGGCCUAUUAGCUAGUUGGUAGGUUAACGGCCUACCAAGGCAAAGAUGGGUAUGGGGUGUGAGAGCAUGCCCCCACUCACUGGGACUGAGACACUGCCCAGACACCUACGGGUGGCUGCAGUCGAGAAUCUUCGGCAAUGGGCGAAAGCCUGACCGAGCGACGCCGCGUGCGGGAUGAAGGCCUUCGGGUUGUAAACCGCUGUCGUAGUGGAGGAAAUGUAGGAGAGUUAUCUCUUUUACUUGACUAAUACUAGGAGGAAGGACCGGCUAAUCUCGUGCCAGCCGCCGCAGUAACAC
rnacentral:rRNA from 1 species